GCCGGCGUAGUCCAACGGCAGGAGACAACUCCCUUAAGAGGAGUCCAGUGCGGGUUCGAAUCCCGCCGCCGGCA
rnacentral:tRNA from 1 species